GACGAACGCUGGCGGCGUGCUUAACACAUGCGAGUCGAACGGAAAGGCCUCUUUCGGGGGGUACUCGAGUGGCGAACGGGUGAGUAACACGUGAGUAACCUGCCCUUGACUUUGGGAUAACUUCAGGAAACUGGGGCUAAUACCGGAUAGGAGCUCCUGCUGCAUGGUGGGGGUUGGAAAGUUUCGGCGGUUGGGGAUGGACUCGCGGCUUAUCAGCGUGUUGGUGGGGUAGUGGCUUACCAAGGCUUUGACGGGUAGCCGGCCUGGGAGGGUGACCGGCCACAUUGGGACUGAGAUACGGCCCAGACUCCUACGGGAGGCAGCAGGGGGGAAUUUUGCACAAUGGGUGGAAGCCUGAUGCAGCAACGCCGUGUGCGGGAUGACGGCCUUCGGGUUGGAAACCGCUUUCGCUCAUGACGAAGCUUUGUGUGACGGUAGUGGGUAAAGAAGCACCGGCUAACUACGUG
rnacentral:rRNA from 1 species